rnacentral:snoRNA from 1 species
UGCAAAGAUGAUCAAUUUUUCUUAUAAUAUACGCUGGAAAUUACCGACUGAGACCUUCUGGUCGCUGGCGACAACUAAUGGCUUUGACUGAGC